rnacentral:rRNA from 1 species
UACGGAGGGUGCAAGCGUUAUCCGGAUUCACUGGGUUUAAAGAGUGCGUAGGCGGGCAGGUAAGUCCGUGGUGAAAUCUCUGAGCUUAACUCAGAAACUGCCAUGGAUACUAUUUGUCUUGAAUAUUGUGGAGGUAAGCGGAAUAUGUCAUGUAGCGGUGAAAUGCUUAGAUAUGACAUAGAACACCAAUUGCGAAGGCAGCUUACUACACAGUUAUUGACGCUGAGGCACGAAAGCGUGGGGAUCAAACAGG